rnacentral:rRNA from 1 species
UACGAAGGGUGCAAGCGUUACUCGGAAUUACUGGGCGUAAAGCGUGCGUAGGUGGUUCGUUAAGUCCGAUGUGAAAGCCCUGGGCUCAACCUGGGAAUGGCAUUGGAUACUGGCGGGCUAGAGUGCGGUAGAGGAUGGCGGAAUUCCCGGUGUAGCAGUGAAAUGCGUAGAGAUCGGGAGGAACAUCUGUGGCGAAGGCGGCCAUCUGGACCAGCACUGACACUGAGGCACGAAAGCGUGAGGAGCAAACAGG